rnacentral:rRNA from 1 species
UACAGAGGGGGCAAGCGUUAUUCGGAAUUAUUGGGCGUAAAGGGCGCGUAGGCGGCGUGUCAAGUCAGGCGUGAAAGCCCCGGGCUCAACCUGGGAACCGCGCUUGAGACUGGCAUGCUCGAGUUCGGGAGAGGAUGGUGGAAUUCCCAGUGUAGAGGUGAAAUUCGUAGAUAUUGGGGAAGAACACCGAUGGCGAAGGCAGCCAUCUGGACCGACACUGACGCUGAGGCGCGAAAGCGUGGGGAGCAAACAGG